AAUAAAAUAGCAUGAAACAAAGUUCCCAACUUUGCCAACCAAACGGUGCAGUUAGCAGAGGUAUGACACAACAUUUAGUGCCAAAAGGUGUUACUGUUAAUUAUUAAUUAAUUAUAUCUUUUAAUUAACUUAAUAAGUCAUAUAUCUUAAAGUUAUAUAAAAGACACAUGUCUGUUAUUAUUUAGUGUAAUGUGGUCCUGAAAAUAUCUUAAGCUGUUUGCUCCUGCUUUUGCGUAAUUGUGGUGAUAUUGUUGUAAUAAUUUAUGUUGAUAGACAGCUUGGCUUACCUUCCCGUUGGUGUCUAUCGUUAAAAAUGAUUACAGUGUCAUUACUAAUUUUUUGAAUGAAAUUAGUUAAACGAGUUGGCUUCUCAUUAAAAAUAUUGAUUUCAAAGUACAACACCCUUGCUAAAAUGCUCACAGAAUCAAGCUAUGCUUAGCUCCUCAGUCCUGUAGAUGGCAGCUGUUAUAACUGAUUUUGAAAAGUGCCUUCAACGUUAAUUGUUUUUUAAGAAAAAUGUGUUUUAUAUAGAGUUUUUUUAAAAUUUUUUUGUUACAUAU